CCUAAGAGUAUAUACUUCAUGAUUCAAUUUCUGUACAAUUCUAUAAAAUGCAAAUUAAUAUAUGAUAACAAAAAGUGAUUGCCUGGAAAUGGUGAGAGGACAGAGGGGCCAGAAUCAGCCAGGAUUACAAAGAUGCACAAGGAAACUUUUGAGGGUGGUGGAUAUCUUGAGUGUGGUGAUAGUUUUACAGUUGUAUGCCUAUGUUAGAAGCUAUCAAAUUGUACACUUUAAGUAUGUACACUUUGUUGUAUAUUAAUUAUGCCUUAAUAAAGUUAUUAUAAAAAGUAGUUCCAGGCAAUACUAGACACUCAAUAAACAUUUGUAAACUAGUCGUUGACUUUCUUGGACUGUGACUUGUUAGCAGUUAGGGAUUGAUUAUUCUGUACAUGUUUAUGUAAUACCUGGCAAAAUACCAUGCUGGAGUAAGUGCUCAAUAAAUGCUAUUUUAAGAAUGUUCCCUUCCAAAAUCCUCUGGUAUUCAGGGUAGGCGAUUAAAA
rnacentral:lncRNA from 1 species